UGUCCCAAUGGGUCCCAUACGUGUCUGUGCCCCCCCAGGCGACUCCCUGAGCUACCACCACGGGCAGAAGUUCUCCACCUUCGACCGCGACCAGGACCUUUACGUGCAGAACUGCGCGGCGCUGUCGUCGGGCGCCUGGUGGUUCAAGAGCUGCCACUUCUCCAACUGAACGGCUCUACCUGGGGGGGCCCACCUCUCUACGCCAACGGCCUCAACUGGGCCCAAUGGAAGGGCUUCAACUACUCCCUGCGCCGCAGCGAGAUGAAGAUCCGCCGCCUCUGAUGGGGCUGAGCUCAGGGUGGCGCUUCCUGUCCCGUUCCCCACUUCCUGCCCUACAACCGCCUCCACCCCAACGGCUGCUGCCCCACAGCUGCCCCCCAAUCUUGUGGGGCGGCCCCAUGGCGCUCCCCCACCGCC
ensembl:lncRNA